AUUUGGAGGUGAAGGGGUGUGGUCAUUGCUGUGUAAGGAGGUGAAGGGGUGUGGUCAUUGCUAUGUAAGGAGGUGAAGGGGUGGCCAUUGCUGUGUAAGGAGGUGAAGGGAUGUGGCCAUUGCUGUGUAAGGAGGUGAAGGGGUGUGGCCAUUGCUGUGUAAGGUGGUGAAGGGGUGUGGCCAUUGCUGUGUAAGGAGGUAAAGGGGUGUGGCAGGGUGCAGAGAAGAUUUUUUUUUUAUUUUAAUCUUGUAUGGUUUUGGAAUCUACAAUCUAGAGAGACCCAGCACACAUCCCAGGGCAGUUCUAAAAAAUAAGUUUUAAUGAUGAUUGUCAAAACAUGAGUUCAUUAGACAUGGUCCCUGGGGCCCUGCUUUGGCAGGAAAAGAGAAUUAAGCUUCUGUUUUAAAAGGUCACUCUUAGCAGGGUGUGAUGAAGCAAGCCUUUAAUCCCAGUUCACCGGAGGUAGACAGGCGGAUCCCUGAGUUCGAGGCCAGCUGGGUCUAUAGAGCAGAGUUCCAGGACAACCAGGGCUACACAGAGAAACCUUGUCUUGGAAAAACAAAACAAGCAAAACAACAACAGCAGAAAGUCACUUUUAACCAGCCCUGGAAGCGAACGGCCGCGGUCACAUCAGCCGAAUCCUCUGUGUCUAUGGCAACGGACAUUCUGAGCCCUGAUUAACCAUAGAUCCAGGACGACUGCAUUAGUCUCCGCACAGCUACAAAUACAUGAGAACCAAGCAGCAAGCUACAUGUUCUUUGAGGAAAUCUGACCCUUUCCAGGGAACACAAUCAGUCAGAGCUGCUGUUAAGCCUUUUUGCUAAGGGAGCUAUCCCCACCCGCCUUCCAUUCCCGUGU
rnacentral:lncRNA from 1 species